UACGGAAGGGGCAAGCGUUGUUCGGAAUCAUUGGGCGUAAAGCGCGUGUAGGCGGCUCGGUAAGUCCGCUCUGAAAGUCCAGGGCUCAACCCUGGGAUGCGGGUGGAUACUGCCGGGCUCGAGUCCGGAAGAGGCGAGUGGAAUUCCCGGUGUAGCGGUGAAAUGCGCAGAUAUCAGGAAGAACACCCGUGGCGAAGGCGGCUCUCUGGGACGGUACUGACGCUGAGACGCGAAAGCGUGGGGAGCGAACAGG
rnacentral:rRNA from 1 species